rnacentral:lncRNA from 1 species
ACAUUGAAAUGAAUCGAAACAGGGAAGGAAAAAUUGGUCAACUAUCCAUUGUGCUAGAUGCCAAUACUAUAAUCGUGAAAGAUGGCCGAGUGUUUGUCAACCAAAAAUAUGUGCAGGUGCCAUUUGACAAUAAAAUGAUCCGUAUUAAGAAAUAUGGGGACUAUACCAAGCUGGAAAGCCGCAGAGGUAUUCUGACAUUAGUAUGGAACAAUGAAGAUAAAUUAUCAGUAAGUCCAUCCAUUUGCUUUCUAAUAGAUGCUGAAUUGCACAGUGAAG